CUUUGAAUUCAUCAAACACUAGAUUACUAUAGUCAUUAACUACAAUUAACUAUAGGCAUGUUGAAUGCUUAUUAUUUUCCAUUGAUCCAUUAUUCAUUUUCUUAGCCAGUACCAGAUUGUUCUGAUUGUAAUGAUGGGGAGUAGAACCAAAAAAAACUUUUGGGGGAAAUUGGAAUGUAGGAACAACUGUUGGAAACUGAACAAGGACUUCUGGAAGGGGAGUUCUUGAAGGUGGAUACACAGAAGGGAGUGGAAGGAGGAGCUAUUUCUUGGGGUCAUUUUCAAGACACCUGUGGAGAUGUCUGACACUGAUAAAAAUCUUAACAUCAUGGGUUCCCGUUUAAAACAUCAUUGGUUCCUGUCAACAAAACUUAAUUUCUCUAAAGACUUUCAUUCUAUGAACUAUUGAGAUACUGGACUCAAAUUGGUGGAGAGCCACGUCUGCUCCUAAGUGGAAGUAGGAAAGAGGAGGGACAGCCAAAAGCCUUUCCAAUCAGGUUAAAUACCCCAUCUCAGUCUCGGCCCAGAUCAUCGAUGGCGAGUUUAACACCUCUGAUUGUAGACUAUCCAAGAAAAAAUGAACUACUCUACUGGUUUAAAGCCAAAUAGGAGUGAGGAUAAGAAAGGAACACAAAGCUUGAGUAAAUUUUAAAGAUACUAGAGUUAUUAAAAGGUCAACUGCCAAUCAAAACUCUCAGUA
rnacentral:lncRNA from 1 species